AGUGACGCUGGCGGUAGGCCUAACACAUGCAAGUCGAACGGCAGCACAGUAAGAGCUUGCUCUUACGGGUGGCGAGUGGCGGACGGGUGAGGAAUACAUCGGAAUCUACUUUUUCGUGGGGGAUAACGUAGGGAAACUUACGCUAAUACCGCAUACGACCUACGGGUGAAAGCAGGGGAUCUUCGGACCUUGCGCGAUUGAAUGAGCCGAUGUCGGAUUAGCUAGUUGGCGGGGUAAAGGCCCACCAAGGCGACGAUCCGUAGCUGGUCUGAGAGGAUGAUCAGCCACACUGGAACUGAGACACGGUCCAGACUCCUACGGGAGGCAGCAGUGGGGAAUAUUGGACAAUGGGCGCAAGCCUGAUCCAGCCAUACCGCGUGGGUGAAGAAGGCCUUCGGGUUGUAAAGCCCUUUUGUUGGGAAAGAAAAGCAGCAGGUUAAUACCCCGCUGUUCUGACGGUACCCAAAGAAUAAGCACCGGCUAACUCCGUG
rnacentral:rRNA from 1 species